rnacentral:lncRNA from 9 species
CAGAAAAUUUAAUGAGCUUUUAAUGGAAUGCAAUGCUCAGAGUAGUAAAUUAUUUGUUAGUUGACGAUGCAAUCAGCAUGCUGAUUAAGGUUGCUUGGUUUUUUACUAAACAUUAACUGAAUGAAAACGGGUAGUCCUUGUUCUGCUUGGGGGGCUUUAAGGAAGCAAAUGGACUUUCAGAACAGAGAUUGUCAAUAAAGGUGUUGUGCCAUGUUAAAGACCCUCUUGUCAUUUUUAUUAUUCAUGGAUGGACGCUAAUUCUACAAGUCAGUUUAAGUGCUAUGGAGUCCCAUUUGCACCUGGAAUGCUGGGAACAGGGGAUGGAGCAGCAAGAAGCAAUUGAAAGGAUUAGGAUGGAACCUUCCUCAAGCUUCACAGGCUUGUCUGCUGGCCACAGACACCAUUAUGUACACAGGAAAAUCAGAUCAUUAUCUAAGGCCAACAAGCUCCUCCUUGAGAUGUUCUGCCAUAUAAUCUGGAGGAAAUACUGUAAGACUUUGUCAGCACUGAGUCAUUUGCACUGGGAGUCUUACCAGAAAAAAAAAAUCUUGUCUUCUCAGAAGGUUGUUUACUGUUCUAUUCAAAGAUCAAUUUGUCAUGUCAACCCUUUCUCUAAUACAAUGGCAAGUGGCAAGAACAAACUGUACAGAAUCCUGUUUCCAAGAAUACCCUUCCUGAGGCCAAGAUGUGUCCUCUGGAAAGAUACCCAUGACACAGACCACAGUGGACACCAACUCAGAUACUGAGGGAAGGUUCCACGACAGCUGAACAUGGACAGCAGACAUGCUGAACACUGAGCCCCUUAGUACAGAGCUGCUAAGCUUUCCUCUCAAGCUGACGGGGGCUGGUACUGCCUUGAAGCCCUGGGAGAUGCCAUGCCAAUUCCCAGCAAGGUCUUUAUUGUUGAAAGUCUUGCACGAUGACAUCUUUAUUCAUGUGAAAAUACAGGAUGAAUUUCAACUAUAUGAUAUUGUUUAUGUUCAUUAGAAAUGUUAUUUGUCUUUACCAAGUCUGGUUUCAAUGAACCGGCUAUGUAAUGGAUAUUAAAUAAACAUGGAAUUUUACAUGUUC